rnacentral:rRNA from 1 species
CCAGACUCCUACGGGAGGCAGCAGUGAGGAAUAUUGGUCAAUGGUCGGGAGACUGAACCAGCCAAGCCGCGUGAGGGAUGAAGGUACAGAGUAUCGUAAACCUCUUUUGUCAGGGAACAAAGGCGGGGACGCGUCCCCGGAUGAGUGUACCCAUAGAACAAGCAUCGGCUAACUCCGUGCCAGCAGCCGCGGUAAUACGGAGGAUGCGAGCGUUAUCCGGAUUUAUUGGGUUUAAAGGGUGCGCAGGCGGCACGGAAGGCCGGCGGACAAAUCGCGGGGCUCAACCUCGCUCCGCCGUUGAAACUGGCGUUCUUGAGUGGGCGAGAAGUAUGCGGAAUGCGUGGUGUAGCGGUGAAAUGCAUAGAUAUCACGCAGAACUCCGAUUGCGAAGGCAGCAUACCGGCGCCCAACUGACGCUGAAGCACGAAAGCGUGGGUAUCGAGCAGGAUUAGAUACCCCCGUA